rnacentral:rRNA from 1 species
GGUCAAGUGAAUAAGUGCAUCAGGCGGAUGCCUUGGCGAUGAUAGGCGACGAAGGACGUGUAAGCCUGCGAAAAGCGCGGGGGAGCUGGCAAUAAAGCUAUGAUUCCGCGAUGUCCGAAUGGGGAAACCCACUGCAUUCUGUGCAGUAUCCUAAGUUGAAUACAUAGGCUUAGAGAAGCGAACCCGGAGAACUGAACCAUCUAAGUACCCGGAGGAAAAGAAAUCAACCGAGAUUCCGCAAGUAGUGGCGAGCGAACGCGGAGGAGCCUGUACGUAAUAACUGUCGAGAUAGAAGAACAAGCUGGGAAGCUUGACCAUAGCGGGUGACAGUCCCGUAUUCGAAAUCUCAACAGCGGUACUAAGCGUACGAAAAGUAGGGCGGGACACGUGAAAUCCUGUCUGAAUAUGGGGGGACCAUCCUCCAAGGCUAAAUACUCAUCAUCGACCGAUAGUGAACCAGUACCGUGAGGGAAAGGCGAAAAGAACCCCGGGAGGGGAGUGAAACAGAACCUGAAACCUGAUGCAUACAAACAGUGGGAGCGCCCUAGUGGUGUGACUGCGUACCUUUUGUAUAAUGGGUCAACGACUUACAUUCAGUAGCGAGCUUAACCGGAUAGGGGAGGCGUAGGGAAACCGAGUCUUAAUAGGGCGAUGAGUUGCUGGGUGUAGACCCGAAACCGAGUGAUCUAUCCAUGGCCAGGUUGAAGGUGCCGUAACAGGUACUGGAGGACCGAACCCACGCAUGUUGCAAAAUGCGGGGAUGAGCUGUGGGUAGGGGUGAAAGGCUAAACAAACUCGGAGAUAGCUGGUUCUCCCCGAAAACUAUUUAGGUAGUGCCUCGAGCAAGACACUGAUGGGGGUAAAGCACUGUUAUGGCUAGGGGGUUAUUGCAACUUACCAACCCAUGGCAAACUCAGAAUACCAUCAAGUGGUUCCUCGGGAGACAGACAGCGGGUGCUAACGUCCGUUGUCAAGAGGGAAACAACCCAGACCGCCGGCUAAGGUCCCAAAUGAUAGAUUAAGUGGUAAACGAAGUGGGAAGGCACAGACAGCCAGGAUGUUGGCUUAGAAGCAGCCAUCAUUUAAAGAAAGCGUAAUAGCUCACUGGUCGAGUCGUCCUGCGCGGAAGAUGUAACGGGGCUCAAAUCUAUAACCGAAGCUGCGGAUGCCGGUUUACCGGCAUGGUAGGGGAGCGUUCUGUAGGCUGAUGAAGGUGCAUUGUAAAGUGUGCUGGAGGUAUCAGAAGUGCGAAUGUUGACAUGAGUAGCGAUAAAGCGGGUGAAAAGCCCGCUCGCCGAAAGCCCAAGGUUUCCUACGCAACGUUCAUCGGCGUAGGGUAAGUCGGCCCCUAAGGCGAGGCAGAAAUGCGUAGUCGAUGGGAAACAGGUUAAUAUUCCUGUACUUGAUUCAAAUGCGAUGUGGGGACGGAGAAGGUUAGGUUGGCAAGCUGUUGGAAUAGCUUGUUUAAGCCGGUAGGUGGAAGACUUAGGCAAAUCCGGGUUUUCUUAACACCGAGAAGUGAUGACGAGUGUCUACGGACACGAAGCAACCGAUACCACGCUUCCAGGAAAAGCCACUAAGCUUCAGUUUGAAUCGAACCGUACCGCAAACCGACACAGGUGGGCAGGAUGAGAAUUCUAAGGCGCUUGAGAGAACUCGGGAGAAGGAACUCGGCAAAUUGAUACCGUAACUUCGGGAGAAGGUAUGCCCUCUAAGGUUAAGGACUUGCUCCGUAAGCCCCGGAGGGUCGCAGAGAAUAGGUGGCUGCGACUGUUUAUUAAAAACACAGCACUCUGCCAACACGAAAGUGGACGUAUAGGGUGUGACGCCUGCCCGGUGCCGGAAGGUUAAUUGAAGAUGUGCAAGCAUCGGAUCGAAGCCCCGGUAAACGGCGGCCGUAACUAUAACGGUCCUAAGGUAGCGAAAUUCCUUGUCGGGUAAGUUCCGACCCGCACGAAUGGCGUAACGAUGGCCACACUGUCUCCUCCCGAGACUCAGCGAAGUUGAAGUGGUUGUGAAGAUGCAAUCUACCCGCUGCUAGACGGAAAGACCCCGUGAACCUUUACUGUAGCUUUGCAUUGGACUUUGAAGUCACUUGUGUAGGAUAGGUGGGAGGCUUGGAAGCAGAGACGCCAGUCUCUGUGGAGUCGUCCUUGAAAUACCACCCUGGUGUCUUUGAGGUUCUAACCCAGACCCGUCAUCCGGGUCGGGGACCGUGCAUGGUAGGCAGUUUGACUGGGGCGGUCUCCUCCCAAAGCGUAACGGAGGAGUUCGAAGGUUACCUAGGUCCGGUCGGAAAUCGGACUGAUAGUGCAAUGGCAAAAGGUAGCUUAACUGCGAGACCGACAAGUCGGGCAGGUGCGAAAGCAGGACAUAGUGAUCCGGUGGUUCUGUAUGGAAGGGCCAUCGCUCAACGGAUAAAAGGUACUCCGGGGAUAACAGGCUGAUUCCGCCCAAGAGUUCAUAUCGACGGCGGAGUUUGGCACCUCGAUGUCGGCUCAUCACAUCCUGGGGCUGUAGUCGGUCCCAAGGGUAUGGCUGUUCGCCAUUUAAAGUGGUACGUGAGCUGGGUUUAAAACGUCGUGAGACAGUUUGGUCUCUAUCUGCAGUGGGCGUUGGAAGUUUGACGGGGGCUGCUCCUAGUACGAGAGGACCGGAGUGGACGAACCUCUGGUGUACCGGUUGUAACGCCAGUUGCAUAGCCGGGUAGCUAAGUUCGGAAGAGAUAAGCGCUGAAAGCAUCUAAGCGCGAAACUCGCCUGAAGAUGAGACUUCCCUUGCGGUUUAACCGCACUAAAGGGUCGUUCGAGACCAGGACGUUGAUAGGUGGGGUGUGGAAGCGCGGUAACGCGUGAAGCUAACCCAUACUAAUUGCCCGUGAGGCUUGACUCU